AUGAACGCUGGCGGCGUGCCUUAUACAUGCAAGUCGAGCGAACAGACGAGGAGCUUGCUCCUCUGACGUUAGCGGCGGACGGGUGAGUAACACGUGGAUAACCUACCUAUAAGACUGGGAAAACUUAGGGAAACGGGAGCUAAUACCGGAUAAUGUAUUGAACCGCAUGGUGCAGUAGUGAAAGAUGGUUGUGCUGUGACGGAUAGACGGAUUAGCGCCGCAUUAGCUAGUUGGUGAGUUAACGGCGUACUAAGGCAACGAUGGGUAGCCUACCGGGGAGGGUGAUCGGCCACAUGGGAACUGAGACAGGGUCCAGACUCCUAAGGGACGCAGCAGUAGGCAAUCUUACGCAAUGGGCGAAAGCUUGGCGGAGCAACGCCGAGUCAGUGAUAACGCUCUUCGGAUCGUAAAACUCUGUUAUUAGUGAAGAACAAAUUUGUAAGUAACUAUGCACGUCUUGACGGUACCUAAUCAGAAAGCCACGGCUAACUACGUG
rnacentral:rRNA from 1 species